rnacentral:rRNA from 1 species
UACGUAGGGUGCAAGCGUUAAUCGGAAUUACUGGGCGUAAAGCGCACGUAGGCGGAUUUGUAAGUUAGGGGUGAAAUCCCGGGGCUCAACCUCGGAACUGCCUUUGAUACUGCAAAUCUCGAGUCCGGAAGAGGUGAGUGGAAUUCCUAGUGUAGAGGUGAAAUUCGUAGAUAUUAGGAAGAACACCAGUGGCGAAGGCGGCUCACUGGUCCGGUACUGACGCUGAGGUGCGAAAGCGUGGGGAGCAAACAGGG